rnacentral:rRNA from 1 species
AUUGAACGCUGGCGGCAUGCCUCACACAUGCAAGUCGAACGGCAGCACGGGAGCAAUCCUGGUGGCGAGUGGCGAACGGGUGAGUAAUAUAUCGGAACGUGCCCAGUCGUGGGGGAUAACGCAGCGAAAGCUGUGCUAAUACCGCAUACGAUCUACGGAUGAAAGCGGGGGAUCGCAAGACCUCGCGCGAUUGGAGCGGCCGAUAUCAGAUUAGCUAGUUGGUGGGGUAAAGGCCCACCAAGGCGACGAUCUGUAGCUGGUCUGAGAGGACGACCAGCCACACUGGAACUGAGACACGGUCCAGACUCCUACGGGAGGCAGCAGUGGGGAAUUUUGGACAAUGGGCGCAAGCCUGAUCCAGCAAUGCCGCGUGCAGGAUGAAGGCCCUCGGGUUGUAAACUGCUUUUGUACGGAACGAAACGGCUCCUUCUAAUACAAGGGGCUAAUGACGGUACCGUAAGAAUAAGCACCGGCUAACUACGUGCCAGCCGCCGCGGUAAAAC